rnacentral:rRNA from 1 species
GACGAACGCUGGCGGCGCGCUUAACACAUGCGAGUCGAACGGAAAGGCCUGCUUUCCCUUGUGGAUCGCGGGUACUCGAGUGGCGAACGGGUGAGUAACACGUGAGUGAUCUGCCCCCAACUUGGGUAUAAGCCUGGGAAACUGGGUCUAAUUCCCGAUAGGACUGCAGGGUGGUGCCUGUGGUGGAAAACGAUUUUCUAGUGGUUGGGGAUGGGCUCGCGGCCUAUCAGCUUGUUGGUGGGGUAAUGGCCCACCAAGGCGGCGACGGGUAGCCAGCCGGAGAGGGGGGACGGCCACAUUGAGACAGGGAUACGGCCCAGACUCCUGCGGGAGGCGGCGGUGGGGAAUAUUGCGCAAUGAGCGGAAGCCUGAUGCGGCGACGGCGCGUGGAGGAUGACGGCCUUCGGGUUGUAAACUCCUUGCGACCGCGAGGAGGCCGCCUGGUUGGAAGGGUGGUGACGGUAGUGGUAGAAGAAGCACCGGCUAACUACGUG